AGUGAACGCUGGCGGUAGGCCUAACACAUGCAAGUCGAACGGCAGCACAGUAAGAGCUUGCUCUUACGGGUGGCGAGUGGCGGACGGGUGAGGAAUACAUCGGAAUCUACUUUUUCGUGGGGUAUAACGUAGGGAAACUUACGCUAAUACCUCAUACGACCUACGGGUGAAAGCAGGGGAUCUUCGGACCUUGCGCGAUUGAAUGAGCCGAUGUCGGAUUAGCUAGUUGGCGGGGUAAAGGCCCACCAAGGCGACGAUCCGUAGCUGGUCUGAGAGGAUGAUCAGCCACACUGGAACUGAGACACGGUCCAGACUCCGACGGGAGGCAGAAGUGGGGAAUAUUGGAAAAUGGGCGCAAGCCUGAUCCAGCCAUACCGCGUGGGUGAAGAAGGCCUUCGGGUUGUAAAGCCCUUUUGCUGGGAAAGAAAAGCAGCAGGUUAAUACCCCGCUGUUCUGACGGUACCCAAAGAAUAAGCACCGGCUAACUUCGUG
rnacentral:rRNA from 1 species